AAGGAAUUAGUUAAAACAUAACAUUAGUAUGUCAAACUAAAAUUGCUCAAUUUCAGCAUUUCUUU
rnacentral:tRNA from 1 species